rnacentral:rRNA from 1 species
CCCUAUGGGGUGCAGCAGGCCAGAAGACUGAAGAAGGAAGUCACUAAAUUCCUAUGCCGGGUGUCUCAAAGUCGUUGACACGCGCCGGCGGAGGUCAAAGCGACUUUGAACAACGGAUUCAAAGGGGAAUUACGCCCUCUGUGGACGGAAGAGAAAAGUUCAUAUGAAUGGUCCAAGAUCACGUUCUUUGGCGGUUCUGUCAAAGGGUGGCCACGAUUGAUCAUCACAUGCGUUGAUGACAGGGUUUCUUCCGUCGAGUCUGUCCAGCCAAGCCCAGCAGGCUUUGAAGACACCCAGCGACGGAGCCUUCUUGAUGCAUUCGGGAAGCCUACUGGCAGUCGUGAAGGACCGUCGGAGCGCUUGCUGUGGUGGGGAGCGGUUUCUUCCGAAGGUGGCGGGAGGGC